rnacentral:rRNA from 1 species
AGUACGUGAAACUGCUUAGAGGUUAAACCCGAUGAACCUGAAUAUCCAUUAUGGAAAAUUCAAUAUUAAGAAUAUAAUAUAAAUAAUAUUAUAAAAAUAGUAUGCAAUUUUUCCAUAUAAGGACAUUGUAAUCUGUUAAUGUUAUAAAUAUUUAUCAAAAGAUCUAAUACUUAAGUUUAUUUAAAUUGUUUAUUUUCGGAUAUUCAACAUAAAAUAAAUGUGUUAGAUUGGAUAAAUCAUUGACAGAUCGAAUUAUAUAUUGUGCAUAAAUUCUUCGGAAUUUUUCAGUAGUAGAUAGAUCUAUUGAUUUGUUUAUUGAUUGCAUGCAUAAUUAUGAUUGACAAUGCGAUAGAUUCAGGAUACCUUCGGGACCCGUCUUGAAACACGGACCAAGGAGUCUAACAUAUGUGCAAGUCAUUGGGUAUUUUUAAUAAAACCCAAUGGCAUAAUUAACUUAACUGUUAUUUAUAAUGAGAUUAAUUUAUAUUUUGUUAUGAUUUAUUUAUUCAAUCUCGGGGCGUUCUAUACAGUUAUGCAUAAUAAUAUUUAUAUUAUUUAUGCCUCUAACUAGAGCGUACCUUGAGC